rnacentral:rRNA from 1 species
GAUGAACGCUGGCGGCGUGCCUAAUACAUGCAAGUCGAGCGAACAGACGAGGAGCUUGCUCCUCUGACGUUAGCGGCGGACGGGUGAGUAACACGUGGAUCACCUACCUAUAUUACUGGGAUAACUUCGGGAAACCGGAGCUAAUACCGGAUAAUAUAUUGAACCGCAUGGUUCAAUAGUGAAUGACGGCUUUGCUGUCUCUUAUAGAUGGAUCCGCGCCGCAUUAGUUAGUUGGUAAGGUAACGGCUUACCAAGGCAACGAUGCGUAGCCGACCUGAGAGGGUGAUCGGCCACACUGGAACUGAGACACGGUCCAGACUCCUACGGGAGGCAGCAGUAGGGAAUCUUCGGCAAUGGGCGAAAGCCUGACGGAGCAACGCCGCGUGAGUGAUGAAGGUCUUCGGAUCGUAAAACUCUGUUAUUAGGGAAGAACAAAUGUGUAAGUAACUAUGCACGUCUUGACGGUACCUAAUCAGAAAGCCACGGCUAACUACGUG